CGAGGAAGUGAUUUACUCAAGAAAAGAAAAUGUGAAAAAAUUCUUUAUGCCUCAAAGCAAUCUGUCAAUAAAAGGUCAUCCUGUAGAAGCCACAGUUUAAGCACUGGUAUCUGCCUGGCUACAACUUAUCUUCAUUAUAGUCAGUGAGGCUUCUCAUCGGUGAACCACAGCAUCUAUUUAAACUCCCCUGAAAGCAGUUGGGCACUCUGAAACAUUCGGAUCAUCAACUGAUGGUGUUCUUGGAACAGAGAGGAAUCAUUCGCCUUUCAGCUGAAAAAAUAUUUAGCAAGACUUAUGAAGAUACAUGGCAUCGUUUUCAAAAACAUGGAGGGAAAAGAGAAAGGCGUGCUUUUUCCAAUAUGAAGAAUGGAAAGAGAAUUUUGAAACUGUUCUGUGUAAAACCUUGUCUUUGCAAGGAGGUACACAUCCCCUGACUGCAGGUGGAGGAAAACAUACUCAGAUCUUCAUAAAGGUGCUGUCUUCCAAAAUGGAAUCUGAACACAAGAUAUGAACGCACAAAGGAAGAUAUAGGCAAGUGCUUAGAGCCUGCAGGAAAUGUUAGUUUGAAAGUUUGAAAACCUAUACCAAAACCUACACCAAAUAAUUAAUUAAUCUAAAAAAAAAAAAAAAACCUGUAGUAAGCUGAAACAAAACCACUUGCAGGUAUUCCAAAAAUACAGUGUUAGAAAAUGUGGGGAAUUUAUAUAGUGCUAAAAACUCUUCAAAGUAUGAUUCCAUUUCACUAUACAUUUUGAAUGCAACAGUGUAGAAACCUUAUCACAGCAAUCUGAUAGAAUUAAAUAGGGAUACACUCAGUAAUACCUAAGAUAAAAAAAAAAAAAGAAUUCAAAAAUGAGACCAAAGAACGAAUUCAUAAAAAUAUUAUUGUGAAAACUUGACAAUACUUAUCAUUACUCUUCAGAAAUCUUUGCUUACCAUGGUUGAAAUAAAUUAUCAUAAAUACCAUAAAUCUACUACCCGGAGUAGGUAAUUUACCCUUCUCCAUUGAUCUCUGCUACAUAAUAUGUAGGUUAUUGUUUACUUCUAUGAAAUAUUCAUCAGGAAGAUCACUUUAUAUUGUUAAACAAUUUACAGCAUUCUGUAAUUCAUUUCUGUAAAUGAAAAUAGACUUUAAAACAAUGUAAAUUUAAUCAUUUGUUCCUUGAAUAAAGGGUUUUCCAAAGAUGGAAAAAGCAACUGCCACACAGGCAGACCUAUAUUCCAAGAUUACUACCUAUUGCCAGUCAUGAAUCUCAUGUGCUGGCAUACCGCACCUUGUUUUGGGUGUAAUAGAUUAUACAUUAAAACUUUUCAUAUUUUUAGUUUGGAAAGACAAGGCAACCUCAUAAUCACAUCUGCCUGAAUUUUGCAUGACCAACAGCUCAGUGCUUAAAUGCAUGUAUCAAAGAAAUGCCAGAGGUUUAGAUGAAUGUAUUUUUAAUAUCACUUCUUUGGCCCUGUUGUAGCUGCUCUAAAUUUAGAUAGAUUAUGUGAAUCACAUGUAGAUAUAAUCAAGCCAGAAUUAACUGAGAUCCUUAGUCAUACUGAGUAUGCCAUAAAUCAAAGCAAAAGUUAAAAAGAAAAACAAACUCAUUUUCUCUAAGAGGAGAUGCCACAAAAUAAGAAUGGAGUUGUUCUCUGCUCAGCCUGCCAUAUUUUAUGCAUGUGUUCAGUAAAAUACUCACAGAGAUUUAAAACUCAUUUAAGAGGAUAUCCUUCCUCAUCAAAAAUAAAAGAGCAUAUUACAUGAAUAAUGAUGAGACUGAAAUUAGCUCUUGUCCCUUAAAGGAGCACCAGCUCUGUCUAGUUUAGAGAUACUUACAGAAGAAAGGCAAUCUUGGUGUCAUGACUGUGUUUUUUAAAUUGAUGUUGUCCAUGUGAUAUAACCACUGUGUAUCACUCAUAAGACACUCUUUUCAAGCAUUUCUACAGUAGAAGUGGAAUCUGCUAUAAAGAGGAUGAUAGCUAAACUGCUUAAUCCUUUCAUAAUGAAUUUACUACUUAUGAAAUAUAUGAAAGUGCCUUCAGAACUGUCUACCCAGUUCACAGAUAUAACCUAACUUGCCCACAGGGAUCUGGCAGUGUGCCCCACUUCUUGGAAAAAGCAUCUUCAAAGGUAACAGGGCACUUCAGCCUUUUCACCCAGUUACACUUCCUUUCCUCUGCCAUCUACAGAAGCAGUCAACUUGCCUUGUUCAUGUAGGAGACACUGUAGCUUACAGUAGCUUUUGAAUAGCAAAUUCAGGACUAUGUGACAAUAAAAUGUAGUGUAGAUAUUUGAGGUCUGUACUGCUGGCUGAGACACUGAUACCAGGUGAAUAUUUGUGAAAACUGAGUUUGGAUUGUGUAAGUGCUUAAGUACUUGGGAGUUGCUGCUCUUCAUUAUAUGCUGGUAUUUCUACUUACAGAUAACACUUGUGCAUAUAAGUUUAUUUAGUAUUUGCAGUAUUUGUUUUUCAUGGUUCUUCUGUUUAAAAGGUUUCUGUCAACUAAUCAGAUAUAAAAGGAAGUAUUAUACUGCUUAGGACUGCACUUUCCAAAGGUAUCAUAGAAGUCCACUGUUUGUCUGACAAUAGAGCUCACAAAUUUAUGAACUCUACUAAGAAAGCUAGCUUGGAUGAACAACCAAACAUCUCAAGUAUUGUAAAACAAUCAAUAAAUCAAAUAAAAAUUAUGUUGCAAAAAAACCCUUUGGGACUAACUACAAAUAUCUAAACAAAAUUGAUUUGAGAUGAGCCUGAUUUUGAAUUAGGAGUGGGCAUUAAGGUAAAUAUCUGUAGAUUUGAAUAUUUUUUUCCAGUUCAAUAUUUCACAAUAAAAUAAUGUUUAAAAACUGCUAGUAUACCUCACUGUAGGAAGCAGGUUUAAAAGAUGAAAGUUAAAAACUUGGGAAAAGAAAGUGAACUGUUAUUUAAAUUGUAUCAGGAACACUCUAAUAAGUAAUUGCAUAUGUACAGAGCUUUUGUGGGAAGAGAAAGAGGAUUUAUUCCUUGGCAUAGCUGUUGGUAAUGGAAAUGUAAUGAGAUUUGAUCUUCCUAUGGUAUUUUUAUUGCCCAAUAGCUGAAAAGAUAAAUGCUUGUGUCUUUUCAGCUACAUAGGUGAAACUGCACUGAAAAAAUAUCAAGUGGAAAAUUAACCUCAUAUAAACAACCAUGCUAGGAAUAAAAAUAAAAAUAUUAAAUGCUCUGCAUGUACAGAAAGGCAGCUUGGAUACUGGCCUGCACCAUUCAGUAUUCUCAGCAAAGACUAAUGUUGCAUUACAAUGAACGUCACUUUAAUGAGGCAGAAAAAAUUGGUCCGAAGACAGCCUGCUGAAUUCAAUCACCUGCUUCACUUGACAUGAGAAACUAGUCACAGGACAUGCCAUACACAGCCCCAGCAGUGACAGUGCUCCCUGUAACAAUAUGAAGUUGCAAAAGAUUUCAACCUGUGAACUACUUCUACAGAUGAACAGAUCAUGUUUUAACAUGAACAAGCUCUAUUUGCCUUAUUGGGAAAAACAUGAAAUUGUGUUUAUCAACAUCAUCCUUGCCUUUUGGAAGGAGAAGAAGCCAGGCAAAUUUCUUGGGGAAAAUCUUGUGCGAGGCUUACCCUCCAGGACUACAUUAAAAAGCAAACAAAACCCAGUACGCUGCAAUUUGAGGACAGGACUCAAAGAAUUCAUAAAAGAAAUGAAAAUUGUCUUGAUUCAAUUUAUUUCUGAAUUCAGUGUAUCCUUUUAAGACCAGUAUUGGUCAUAGAUAUAUUCUGAUUAUAGCCAAGG
rnacentral:lncRNA from 7 species